rnacentral:rRNA from 1 species
GUAUAUUAAAUUUGUUGCAGUUAAAAAGCUCGUAGUUGAUAUUCGGGGGAUGGAGCUUCUUAAUUGAGGUUUCCUGAACCUAGGUCUGUACUUGUUGCAGACCAGUUACUUUGAGAAAAUUAGAGCGCUUAAAGCAGUCAUUGAAUACGUUAGCAUGGAAUAACAGAAGGACGACGUUUCUUUUGUGGGAACAUCGUAAUUGAUUAACAGGGACAGUCGGGGGCAUCAGUAUUUAGCAGCUAGAGGUGAAAUUCUUGGAUUUGCUAAAGACUAACUAGUGCGAAAGCAUUUGCCAAGGAUGUCUUCAUUAAUCAAGAACGAAAGUUAGGGGAUCGAAGACGAUCAGAUACCGUCGUAGUCUUAACAGUAAACUAUGCCGAUAGAGCGGAGGAUGGACGAUUAAAUCUAUUCUCCGCUCGAGCGAAAGCAGUUGGUUCUGGGGGGAGUAUGGUCGCAAGGCUGAAACUUAAAGGAAUUGACGGAAGGGCACCACCAGGAGUGGAGCCUGCGGCUUAAUUUGACUCAACACGGGGAAACUCACCAGGUCCAGACACAAUGAGGAUUGACAGAUUGAGAGCUCUUUCAUGAUUUUGUGGGUGGUGGUGCAUGGCCGUUCUUAGUUGGUGGAGUGAUUUGUCUGCUUAAUUGCGAUAACGGACGAGAUUUUGGCGAGCAGUUGGGGAAGUUACAUUUUGUAGCGGAACCGUCUACUCGGACAGCUGAUGCAAAUCAGAGGAAGCGAGGCAAUAACAGGUCUGUGAUGCCCUUAGACGUUCUGGGCCGCACGCGCGCUACACUGACUCGGUCAACAAGAUCCUUUGUUUAGCAACACGGGAAAUCUUAUAAACCGGGUCGUGCUGGGGAUAGAGCCUUGCAAUUAUUGCUCUUGAACGAGGAAUUCCUAGUAAGCGCAAGUCAUCA